GAGGAAGGUGGGGAUGACGUCAAGUCCUCAUGGCCCUUAUGUCCUGGGCUACACACGUGCUACAAUGGCGGUGACAGUGGGAAGCCAGGCAGCGAUGCCGAGCUGAUCCUCAAAAGCCGUCUCAGUUCGGAUUGCACUCUGCAACUCGGGUGCAUGAAGGUGGAAUCGCUAGUAAUCGUGGAUCAGCAUGCCACGGUGAAUACGUUCCCGGGCCUUGUACACACCGCCCGUCACACCAUGGGAUUUGGUUUGACCUUAAGUUGGUGCGCUAACCGCAAGGAGGCAGCCAACCACGGUCGGGUUAGAGACUGGGGUGAAGUCG
rnacentral:rRNA from 1 species